UUAGCGGCGGACGGGUGAGUAACACGUGGAUAACCUACCUAUAAGACUGGGAUAACUUCGGGAAACCGGAGCUAAUACCGGAUAAUAUUUUGAACCGCAUGGUUCAAAAGUGAAAGACGGUCUUGCUGUCACUUAUAGAUGGAUCCGCGCUGCAUUAGCUAGUUGGUAAGGUAACGGCUUACCAAGGCAACGAUGCAUAGCCGACCUGAGAGGGUGAUCGGCCACACUGGAACUGAGACACGGUCCAGACUCCUACGGGAGGCAGCAGUAGGGAAUCUUCCGCAAUGGGCGAAAGCCUGACGGAGCAACGCCGCGUGAGUGAUGAAGGUCUUCGGAUCGUAAAACUCUGUUAUUAGGGAAGAACAUAUGUGUAAGUAACUGUGCACAUCUUGACGGUACCUAAUCAGAAAGCCACGGCUAACUACGUGCCAGCAGCCGCGGUAAUACGUAGGUGGCAAGCGUUAUCCGGAAUUAUUGGGCGUAAAGCGCGCGUAGGCGGUUUUUUAAGUCUGAUGUGAAAGCCCACGGCUCAACCGUGGAGGGUCA
rnacentral:rRNA from 1 species